rnacentral:tmRNA from 1 species
GGGGUCGUUACGGAAUCGACUGGCAUUGUUCGUGCUAGCACUGCGUUUAGGGGUUGUGGCCCUAUAAUCCACUCAGAAGAAUUAACUGCAAACAAUUCACAAAACACUUACGCAGUAGCUGCCUAAAAACCAGCCUGCGUUGCCUAUGCACAGCUUUGAUUACGGGUUGCGCUAGGUUUUAAAACUAAGUAAUCUGCGCCAACCGUUCGCCACCUGAGGGCGGUUGGAAGAGGAUAAUCAGGCUGGUCUAGUUGAUCGCCGCGCGGAAUGGCGUGCACUAGAUGAGACUUAAAUUAUUCAGCUAUGAACGUAUNNGGGGUUCAACUCCCCUCGGCUCCAUAG